CCUACGGGUGGCAGCAGUAGGGAAUUUUCGGCAAUGGGGGGAACCCUGACCGAGCAACGCCGCGUGAACGAAGAAGUUAUUCGUAAUGUAAAGUUCUUUUAACAGGGAAGAAAGAGACAUUUGACGGUACCUGAAGAGUAAGCUCCGGCUAAAUACGUGCCAGCAGCCGCGGUAAUAAGUAGGGAGCGAGCGUUAUCCGGAAUCAUUGGGCGGAAAGGGUGCGUAGAUGGAAUAGUAAGUCUUUUGUAAAAAUGCUGGGCUCAACCCAGUAGGGCAAAAGAUACUGCAAUGCUAGAGUAUGAGAGAGGCAAGUGGAACUAGAUGUGUAGCGAUAAAAUGCGUAGAUAUA
rnacentral:rRNA from 1 species